rnacentral:lncRNA from 1 species
GUCCAAUUGGGUCAUCAGGAGGGAUCAGCCAAUCGUGAAAAAUAAAAUGGACUACUUUAAAAUGGAGAUUGCCUCAAUUCGCUUAAUUCACCCGACGUGACACGUCACUUCCAGCUGAAUGAAUGGGAAACAGAGGCCGGAAACCUAGGCAACAUAGUCAAAAGUUGUACUGCUGCGUCCCUGGAUGUAACUCCUACAAAAGGAGGGAGUGAUGCAGAGAAUUAACUUUUCACAGUUUCCCCAAAGACUGCAAUCCGACGUCAAUGAGUGGUGAAAGUAAAGAGUUGUCAAACCACAUUAUAAGUUAACUGACAACAACCAAAGUGUGUUCAAAACACUUUGUUGUGGACUCCUUUUUAAAGACAAUAAGUGGGAAACGGAUGCUAAAGGAGCAGGUUGUGCCGACUGUGUUCACCUGGAUGUCCACCCCAAAGCCUGGCAGGAAGACCAUCAUCAGAAAAGCUGCAAGGUAGGCCUUCUAGCGUAGCUUACCCC